rnacentral:rRNA from 1 species
GACGAAGGGGGCUAGCGUUGUUCGGAAUUACUGGGCGUAAAGCGCGUGUAGGCGGUUGCCAAAGUCGGGUGUGAAAGCCUUGAGCUCAACUCAAGAAUUGCACUCGAUACUUGGUGACUAGAGGACCGGAGAGGAUAGUGGAAUUCCCAGUGUAGUGGUGAAAUACGUAGAGAUUGGGAAGAACACCAGUGGCGAAGGCGGCUAUCUGGACGGUUUCUGACGCUAAGACGCGAAAGCGUGGGUAGCAAACAGG